GGCCGCGGCCAUUCCUUUAAGGCCUACACAUGCAAGUCGAGCGGAAGACAGACCCUUGCUUCUCUUGAGAGCGGCGGACGGGUGAGUAAUGCCUAGGAAUCUGCCUGGUAGUGGGGGAUAACGUUCGGAAACGGACGCUAAUACCGCAUACGUCCUACGGGAGAAAGCAGGGGACCUUCGGGCCUUGCGCUAUCAGAUGAGCCUAGGUCGGAUUAGCUAGUUGGUGAGGUAAUGGCUCACCAAGGCGACGAUCCGUAACUGGUCUGAGAGGAUGAUCAGUCACACUGGAACUGAGACACGGUCCAGACUCCUACGGGAGGCAGCAGUGGGGAAUAUUGGACAAUGGGCGAAAGCCUGAUCCAGCCAUGCCGCGUGUGUGAAGAAGGUCUUCGGAUUGUAAAGCACUUUAAGUUGGGAGGAAGGGCAGUUACCUAAUACGUGAUUGUUUUGACGUUACCGACAGAAUAAGCACCGGCUAACUCUGUGCCAGCAGCCGCGGUAAUACAGAGGGUGCAAGCGUUAAUCGGAAUUACUGGGCGUAAAGCGCGCGUAGGUGGUUAGUUAAGUUGGAUGUGAAAUCCCCGGGCUCAACCUGGGAACUGCAUUCAAAACUGACUGACUAUAGUAUGGUACAGGGUGGUGGAAUUUCC
rnacentral:rRNA from 1 species